GCCAAUGUAGUGUAGUGGUUUGAGCAUUGGACUAAGACUCUGGAGACCAGGGUUCAAAUCCCCACUUGGCCA